UGUUGAAGGUCGAGUUAAUUAUGACGGUAGUAGAUGAAAGCAAUAAUGAUCUGAGAAUAACUGACCGUCCCUAGAGCAAGUUGCAAAGGAUUUGAUGGUUGGUACCUGAGACCUAAGUUCGAAUCCUAGUUGAUUCACAUUUCCAGCUAAGUUUAUUUCUAAAUGAAAUAAAGGAAGCAGGUAGCGCGCUACCUAUCACUCAAAAAAAAAAUAAUGAUUUGAGAUUUAUAUAUAUU
rnacentral:lncRNA from 1 species